GUAAAGUUUACCCAAAAAGAUAUCUUAAGAGCAUCGAAGCUUGUUAAAGAAUUUUAUUUUACAGUAACAUGCCAGGAUUAGGAUAAACACAUUUCUGGGCAGUGAACCAUGUGAGUAGGCUGUGGUGGAAUUUGUGUGGUCAACCUACAACACAUGGAUUGCAGUGGUUCAAGAAGACAGCUCACCACUAUCUUCUCAAGGACAUUGCUGGAGUCGCACUAGGACCGAGCGGGGACACGGAUCUGACCUGGACCUGCAUGUUGCAAUCUGGUGGGCCCGCUCCACACUCACCACAGCCAACUCUAUCUUCAGGCCCAGGAACUUUGGAAGCCACUUCUCCAGGAAUCCAAUGUGAUCCUUGCCUUCCUCGUGUUCUGGGAGAUCCAGGAGCCUUAAGUUUUCCUUUUAGUUUCAGGUUGUCCACUUGUUCUUGAAGGACCCAAA